rnacentral:rRNA from 1 species
GACGAACGCUGGCGGCGUGCUUAACACAUGCAAGUCGAACGGUAAGGCUCCAGCUUGCUGGGGUACACGAGUGGCGAACGGGUGAGUAACACGUGGGUGACCUGCCCUGCACUUCGGGAUAAGCCUGGGAAACUGGGUCUAAUACCGGAUAGGACCGCACCGUGAGGGUGUGGUGGAAAGUUUUUUCGGUGUGGGAUGGGCCCGCGGCCUAUCAGCUUGUUGGUGGGGUAAUGGCCUACCAAGGCGGCGACGGGUAGCCGGCCUGAGAGGGUGGACGGCCACAUUGGGACUGAGACACGGCCCAGACUCCUACGGGAGGCAGCAGUGGGGAAUAUUGCACAAUGGGCGGAAGCCUGAUGCAGCGACGCCGCGUGGGGGAUGACGGCCUUCGGGUUGUAAACUCCUUUCACCAUCGACGAAGGGUUUCUGACGGUAGAUGGAGAAGAAGCACCGGCUAACUACGUGCCAGCAGCCGCGGUAAUACGUAGGGUGCGAGCGUUGUCCGGAAUUACUGGGCGUAAAGAGCUCGUAGGUGGUUUGUCGCGUCGUCUGUGAAAUUCCGGGGCUUAACUCCGGGCGUGCAGGCGAUACGGGCAUAACUUGAGUACUGUAGGGGAGACUGGAAUUCCUGGUGUAGCGGUGAAAUGCGCAGAUAUCAGGAGGAACACCGGUGGCGAAGGCGGGUCUCUGGGCAGUAACUGACGCUGAGGAGCGAAAGCAUGGGGAGCGAACAGGAUUAGAUACCCUGGUAGUCCAUGCCGUAAACGGUGGGCGCUAGGUGUGGGUUUCCUUCCACGGGAUCCGUGCCGUAGCUAACGCAUUAAGCGCCCCGCCUGGGGAGUACGGCCGCAAGGCUAAAACUCAAAGGAAUUGACGGGGGCCCGCACAAGCGGCGGAGCAUGUGGAUUAAUUCGAUGCAACGCGAAGAACCUUACCUGGGCUUGACAUAUACAGGAUCGCGCCAGAGAUGGUGUUUCCCUUGUGGCUUGUAUACAGGUGGUGCAUGGUUGUCGUCAGCUCGUGUCGUGAGAUGUUGGGUUAAGUCCCGCAACGAGCGCAACCCUUGUCUUAUGUUGCCAGCACGUUGUGGUGGGGACUCGUAAGAAACUGCCGGGGUUAACUCGGAGGAAGGUGGGGAUGACGUCAAAUCAUCAUGCCCCUUAUGUCCAGGGCUUCACACAUGCUACAAUGGUCGGUACAGUGGGUUGCCAGUCCGUGAGGGCGAGCUAAUCCCGCAAAGCCGGUCUCAGUUCGGAUCGGGGUCUGCAACUCGACCCCGUGAAGUCGGAGUCGCUAGUAAUCGCAGAUCAGCAACGCUGCGGUGAAUACGCUCCCGGGCCU